rnacentral:rRNA from 1 species
CGGGAAAAGCUCAAAUUUAAAAUCUGGUGGCCUUUGGCCAUCCGAGUUGUAAUUUAGAGAAGCGUCUUCCGCGCUGGACCGUGCACAAGUCUCCUGGAAUGGAGCGUCAUAGAGGGUGAGAGUCCCGUCUU